GACGAACGCUGGCGGCGUGCCUAAUACAUGCAAGUAGAACGCUGAAGGAGGAGCUUGCUUCUCUGGAUGAGUUGCGAACGGGUGAGUAACGCGUAGGUAACCUGCCUGGUAGCGGGGGAUAACUAUUGGAAACGAUAGCUAAUACCGCAUAAUAGCAGUUGUUGCAUGACAACUGUUUGAAAGGUGCAAUUGCACCACUACCAGAUGGACCUGCGUUGUAUUAGCUAGUUGGUGGGGUAACGGCUCACCAAGGCGACGAUACAUAGCCGACCUGAGAGGGUGAUCGGCCACACUGGGACUGGGACACGGCCCAGACUCCUACGGGAGGCAGCAGUAGGGAAUCUUCGGCAAUGGACGGAAGUCUGACCGAGCAACGCCGCGUGAGUGAAGAAGGUUUUCGGAUCGUAAAGCUCUGUUGUAAGAGAAGAACGAGUGUGAGAGUGGAAAGUUCACACUGUGACGGUAUCCUACCAGAAAGGGACGGCUAACUACGUG
rnacentral:rRNA from 1 species